AAACUUUAUAGGACCAACACACCAUAUUGUCUUCUUGGUCAAUGUCAGCAAUGGUGAAUUAUAAAUAAUUGAAGCUAGCAACUUCACAUUGCCCUUGGGAUUUGCAAAAAUACCUGGAUAACAAAAUCAACAGUAAUUAAGGAAUUAGAUAAAUUUUUAGUCUCCAUUAUCUUCAUGACUUGUUUUUCUCCAACUUCCAAUAUUGUUUCUGUCAAU
rnacentral:misc_RNA from 1 species